GCAUAGAUACAACAAUGGCAUCACAACAUAACCAUACAACAACACAACAUUUAUUUAGAAGAGUCGGAAGAGUCUUGCAUAAUAUGUUCAUACAGAUAGGGGUCACAUGACCUGACACUCAAGUCAUACAAGCAGAGUCAUACAAACCAAGCGGAAGUAUAAAAGUUGUGUGAGUACAGACAGUUGAAAGGAAAAGCCAUAAAGCCUGACUAUCUAACAUCCCUUCUGAAAGGGGUAAGGUCGUAGCUGGGACACCAACUACUCGUCAUCAUCGAGGUCUAGAUAGACCCCACCUGUUGGCUCGUGGGUAUGCUCUGCAACAUUUAUUAAGCAAACAUGAGUACAAAAGUACUCAGCAAGACUUUAGAACAGAUCUAUCUACUCAUGCACAUGUAUCAAUAAAGGGGUUGUGGGGUUUCAUGCACCAAGCCAGCUUUCACUAUUGGCUAGACUAAACUAUAAUUUAAAUAGUUUUAACAACUUCGAUAAGUCGUACACGAGUCCACUACCACCACAACAAUACACUAUCAUGGAUUCCUUCCCGUCUCCCUACGGAAAUGUCAUACAUGAUACUCACGCUUAUGUUGACACUUUUAUGAGUAGCCAUUAAAGUUAUCUAUGAACAACAUAUGUCUCCAAGUAGUCCAUAUCCGCGGACGCGGCUAUUCGAAUAGAUCAUAACCCUGCAGGGGUGUACUUCUUCACACACGCUCUCCUCACUUAUCGCCAUGUGCACGUCAUGCACCUCGAAAACCUUCAAGCGGAAGCCCAGCGAGGGAGUCGGCCACGACCGUUAACCACGCUAAUACCUAGUCCAGGUUUAUCGCCUAUUUGAGAGUGAACCCGCACGGAAGUCCGAUCGAGGUUUCCGCCACGGCCCCAAACGAUGUGCGCGGGGUUUCCAAGCCCACCAUCCGGGUGCCACUUGGUACACCGUGCCACUGCCUACCGCAUCAUAGCCGACCUCUAAGGUCAGCACUAUGCAGGGCCUCCAGUAUGACUAUAAACACAAGAAACUACUUGCAACUCCUGGACCGAGUAUUAGGCAAUUAAUAAGUCGAGAGGGGUCAUAUUUCAGGGCCGAGCAUGUGGUAGUGACUUUUCUUGGAUUACAUACACGGAACACAGUUCCGAAGGACGAUUCCAAUGAAACAACCCGCCAUGUACUCCUACAUAGCCUUUCAUCGGUACCUUUACCAAAUCAGGUUCCACACUUAUUCUUUGUCACUAGAAGACAUUCAUCCAUUCUUCUUCAUCACCUAGAUGAAACAGACCUGACACAACUCUAAGCAUAGCAAGCAUAGCAGAAUAAUACACAUCAUGGAUCAAGCAACUACCAGGUAUGCUAGGUUGCAAGGUUUCGCUAUUUACUGUGACAAUGACAGGUCAUGCAAAGGAAUAGGUUCAGCUACCGAAGUAAAGCAUUUGAAAUAUUUUGUCCUAAUGCAAUAAGUGGGAGAAGGAGCAGGAACAUGGGAUUAUAUCGGGAUGAUCAAAAUGGUGCUUGCCUUCUUGCUCAGCAGAAGGAUUAAAUCCGUCAGUCGGAUAUUCGGACGUAUCCGGAAGGGCAGAGCCUACCAAAAUAAUAAGGACAAUCAAUAACAUUCAUAUGCAACAAUAUGAUGCAUGAUCAUGGCAUGAAAUGAAAUGUAGCAUGAUCUAGUGUGGCUAUCAAACCUUUGGUUUGAUGCUCAUUUGAAUUCAAAUUCAAAUACUAUUUAAAAUGGGACAUUUAUUAAAUUCCUUUGAUUGAUUUGACCUAAUGCUAUUUCAUAACUUUGUUUGUCAUGCAUGAAAGUAGCACCAUUGUGUUCAUUGAAUUUUUCUGAUCAAUUUGCUUAUAUUAUUUGUCAAAUUUGGAGUUAUAUUUAAUUUUAAUUUCCAAAGUUUUGCACUUAUUCUGGAAUUAUUUAAAACAGAAAUAGUAUUUACUGCAUCAGCAUGACAUCAGCACGUCAAUCUGGCCGUUGAAAGUCCAACCUAACUAGUGGGACCCACUGGUUGGUGACUCUGGCUAGAUUUUAAUUAAACUUUAAGUUAAUUAGCUAGUUAACACAGACUGGUCCACAUGUCACUGACUAAUUAGGGUUUUAAUUAACUAAUUAUUUUUAUUAACUUAAACUUAAUUAGCCUGGGGCUGGCCCCACCUAUCAUAGGCUUAGGGGAGUCAACCCACCAGUGAUGGGGGUCAAACCCACCGAUGGCGAGCCUGCCGUAAUUCCACGGAUGGCGGAGGGCAUCGGAAAUGCACCUCCGGCGACCAAAUGAGCGACAAAAAGCACUGGAAGAAUGGCCACUCAUCCGUGAGUCCAUUUUUACUAGUCUCACGGUUUGAAACGGCCGGAGAUGACGCCAACGACCCUAAAGGUCUACUAGGUUGAACAAUAGUCUGAGGUUGACGGCGGAAGCUACUUGAGGAAUCUCCAGUGCCCAUGGGACUCCAUUCCCACAGGAACAGCUGACCUAGAAAAAUUCUAUCUCACAAGGCUGCUACCCUUGGCUCCUAGGUUCCGGGAUGACGGCGGCGUGCUCCUCUCCGAACGCAAUCUGGCCAAGACAAUAGCUAGGGACAAGCCAGUGAGUACUUUGAAUGUACUCGCAAAACAUCAAGAAAACAAACACGUUAAAGGAGAUGAGAUGCAUGCAAAUUUCCACUAACAAUUAUAUCAUCCCAUUAGAAUUUAAUUCAUGAAUGUAUUCAUAAAGAUACGCAAUGUUUCCUCCAACGUUUUACAAACAAGCAAGGAAGGUAGUAAUGAAUAAGUAAUAAUAUGUGAGCCGCAGUUGGGCGUUUGAGCGACACCACAGAAAAGGGCUUAUAAGAAAUAAUAAUAAGCAUGCCUCAGUCGGGCGUCUGAGCGACACCACAUAACGGGCUUAUAAUAAAUAAUAAUAAGCAUGCCUCAGUCGGGCGUCUGAGCGACACCACACAAAGGGCUUAUAAGAAAUAAUAAUAAUAAGCAUGCCUCAGUCGAGCGUCUAAGCGACACCACAUAAAGGGCUUAUAAAAAAUAAUAAUAAGCAUGCCUCAGUCGGGCGUCUAAGCGACACCACAUAAAGGGCUUAUAUGAAUAAGUAAAGAAUAUCCAUGAGGUAGAACCGUUCCAGAGAUAUUCAACAAUCAUAAUCAUAGGGGUUAGUCCACAGAAAUAAUGUUCAUAAUCGCCCACCAUACUUCCUGAUUAGUCUCAUACUUCUUUAACUAUCUCCGAAGACCGACACUCAGACUGACACUUGACUAGUCAACCAGUCAUCCUAGACCGUGGACACGGCUACUCGAAUAGUUCUACAGAGGGUGUACUCUUUACCCACAGCCCACGGUUUUCGAUAGUCACUUGGACUAAUCCCAGUUACGGUAAUUUAGAAGCAGACGCUCAGAUCCAGCACACACCAAUUUCACCUCCGCAAAGCCCGGCUUCACCCGGACUACGCUGCCAAGGUAAAACCAUAAGACGGGGAGGCUCCGACCUCGACUACAUGGGAUCAAAAUUUAUAUCGCGCGCCAACGGGGAGUGCCCUCCCUUCUGGUCCCAGACCGGAAACACCCAAGCCCCCUGACCGGAUGACUGGAUUUAGUUCAGGGCCCUGGAUACCUUCAUCCCGGCCCCUCUACUUGGUGUGUGACUGAUAAUAGGUCUAUAACCGACUAUACCAAAUCCAUUAUCCAGGAAACUAUGGUAGCACGAAGGGUAAGGUGACACACAGACAAGACUCGAUCUACGGUCGACUUAGGAGGUUUAAUAUUUUUCCUACAAGGAUUAGUACCACACCAUCUUGCUGAAGGGAUUAUCUCCGCGUUACUACCAUCACACCCCGACAUGCUUUCACUGACCACUCUCGUCCCACGAGGCGUCAGCCUAUGGUCUCAUUUUCACCAGACACACCUUACUCCGUGGUUGUCCAUACCAACAUAGCAUACAAAGUAUGAGGCAAUAACCACUUACCGCUUGCCUUCCACAAACUUAGCAAAAUCAAUAUCCAUCACAUGAUAUUAUGCAAGGUAUUAUUUAAUGCGAGAUUUUUAUCAACAUAACCUAAAAUCAUGCAAUAUAUGCACCACCACAAUCAUCACACAACUUUAUGCAAAUUUGGAUUCAAGAUGCUUGACUUAGGGGUUUGAGGAGGGUGAUGUGUACUCCACAUCUUGGAGUAGGUAUACUCUCUUAAAAAUCCUAUUUUGAAAGAUAUUUGAAUCAACACACAAACAUAAAACAGCACACAAAAGUUGAUUGAAUAAUUUUUAAAUUAACCUUAAAAUAAAUUAGAUGAAAUUCUAAACAGGUAGGAAAAAGAAUCAAUUGAUUUGGAGUUGUAUUUUAAAAGUUAGAGCCAGUCAAACUUUCUCGGCAACUCUGUUUUUAAAAUUCAAUAUAAAAGAAAAUGAUUCGGGGGUAAAUACGUUUCCUGGCAGAAAAAACGUAUUCAUUGAGACAGCUACAAAGAAAUACACUUUACCAAAAGAAGAUGCACCAGGG
rnacentral:lncRNA from 1 species